CCUACGGGAGGCUGCAGUGGGGAAUAUUGGACAAUGGGGGGAACCCUGAUCCAGCCAUGCCGCGUGUGUGAAGAAGGCCCUCGGGUUGUAAAGCACUUUCAGUGAGGAAGAACGCCUGGUGGUUAAUACCCAUCAGGAAAGACAUCACUCACAGAAGAAGCACCGGCUAACUCCGUGCCAGCAGCCGCGGUAAUACGGAGGGUGCGAGCGUUAAUCAGAAUUACUGGGCGUAAAGCGCGCGUAGGUGGCUUGAUAAGCCGGUUGUGAAAGCCCCGGGCUCAACCUGGGAACGGCAUCCGGAACUGUCAAGCUAGAGUGCAGGAGAGGAAGGUAGAAUUCCCGGUGUAGCGGUGAAAUGCGUAGAGAUCGGGAGGAAUACCAGUGGCGAAGGCGGCCUUCUGGACUGACACUGACACUGAGGUGCGAAAGCGUGGGUAGCAAACAGGAUUAGAUACCCCUGUAGUC
rnacentral:rRNA from 1 species